rnacentral:rRNA from 1 species
UACGAAGGGGGCUAGCGUUGUUCGGAUUUACUGGGCGUAAGCGCACGUAGGCGGGUCGUUAAGUCAGGGGUGAAAUCCCGGAGCUCAACUCCGGAACUGCCUUUGAUACUGGCGACCUUGAGGCUGGAAGAGGUUAGUGGAAUUCCCAGUGUAGAGGUGAAAUUCGUAGAUAUUGGGAAGAACACCAGUGGCGAAGGCGGCUAACUGGUCCAGAUCUGACGCUGAGGUGCGAAAGCGUGGGGAGCAAACAGG